rnacentral:rRNA from 1 species
GACGAACGCUGGCGGCGUGCUUAACACAUGCAAGUCGAACGGAACUUUUUGGAUCAAGGCUUCGGCCAAGUGAAUUUGAGUUUAGUGGCGGACGGGUGAGUAACGCGUGAGGAACCUGCCUUUCAGAGGGGGACAACAGUUGGAAACGACUGCUAAUACCGCAUAACGCAUAGGAGUCGCAUGGCUCUUAUGCCAAAGAUUUAUCGCUGAAAGAUGGCCUCGCGUCUGAUUAGCUAGUCGGUGAGGUAACGGCCCACCAAGGCGACGAUCAGUAGCCGGACUGAGAGGUUGACCGGCCACAUUGGGACUGAGAUACGGCCCAGACUCCUACGGGAGGCAGCAGUGGGGAAUAUUGCGCAAUGGAGGAAACUCUGACGCAGUGACGCCGCGUAUAGGAAGAAGGUUUUCGGAUUGUAAACUAUUGUUGUUGAGGAAGAUAAUGACGGUACUCAACAAGGAAGUGACGGCUAACUACGUGCCAGCAGCCGCGGU